rnacentral:tRNA from 1 species
UGAGGUUUAGCUCAGUGGUAGAGCAUUUGCCUAGCAUACAUAAAGCCUAAGUUCAAUCCUUGGUAGCACAA